AAGGUUUUAGCUUAAUUAAAGUGCCUGCUUUGCAUGCAGUAGAUGUGGGAUAAUAGCCCGCAAGUCUUA
rnacentral:tRNA from 1 species